GUGUCAGCAGCCGCGGUAAUACAGAGGGUGCAAGCGUUAAUCGGAUUUACUGGGCGUAAAGCGUGCGUAGGCGGUUCAGUAUGUCGGUCGUGAAAUCCCCGGGCUUAACCUGGGAACUGCGGCCGAAACUGCUGGGCUUGAGUGUGGUAGAGGGCGGUGGAAUUCCGGGUGUAGCGGUGAAAUGCGUAGAGAUCCGGAGGAACAUCAAUGGCGAAGGCAGCCGCCUGGGCCACAACUGACGCUGAGGUACGAAAGCGUGGGGAGCAAACAGGAUUAGAUACCCUCGUAGUCC
rnacentral:rRNA from 1 species